GAGGGUGUAGCUCAGUGGUAGAGUGCAUGCUUAGCAUGCACGAGGUCCUGGGUUCCAUCCCCAGUACCUCUG
rnacentral:tRNA from 1 species